CUACGGGCCGCUGCAGUGGGGAAUAUUGCACAAUGGAGGAAACUCUGAUGCAGCAACGCCGCGUGGAGGAUGACACUUUUCGGAGCGUAAACUCCUUUUAUAUAGGAAGAAGAUGACGGUACUAUAUGAAUAAGCGCCGGCUAACUCCGUGCCAGCAGCCGCGGUAAUACCGGAGGGCGCAAGCGUUACUCGGAAUCACUGGGCGUAAAGAGCGUGUAGGCGGAUUAAAAAGUCAGAAGUGAAAUCCUAUAGCUUAACUAUAGAACUGCUUCUGAAACUCUUAAUCUAGAAUAUGGGAGAGGUAGAUGGAAUUUCUGGUGUAGGGGUAAAAUCCGUAGAGAUCAGAAGGAAUACCGAUUGCGAAGGCGAUCUACUAGAACAUUAUUGACGCUGAGACGCGAAAGCGUGGGGAGCAAACAGGAUUAGAUACCCUCGUAGUC
rnacentral:rRNA from 1 species